GUGCUCGCUUUGGCAGCACAUAUACUAAAAUUGUAAUGAUACAGAGAAGAUUAACAUGGCCCCUGGCAGUGAUGACAUGCAAUGUUGUGAAUCAUUCCAGAUUUUU